UCUGAGAGGAAUAUUUGAAACACAUCCAGAUAUUGCAGUAGAGUUUCGUGCAAAGAACCAAUAUAUGAGGACAUCAUGCAUGAACUUCUUGCUCAGUCUUAGCGAGAUGUUUUCCAAAUCAGUUCAGGAGCUCUCUAAUGAGGACCUGGUGGAAGCGAGCAUUGCGCUGACAUACUUGAAACAUGUGGGGUUUAAGCUGGAUUGGUUGGAGAAGAGUGUGGACCAAGUCAAAGAACAUAACGUUAAGGGGUUCUCAGUACAAGAGUCUCCUCCAUAAAUUGUCUUAAUUUGGGAUGAAGAAGAAGAAGCCGAUCGAAGAAGAAGAAGAAAUCAGAUCCUUCUCAGAACUAUUAACGGCGGCGUAAAACGUUCAUGUUCCCAAAGCAGUACUGAAACGAUUCGCCUUCCUCCUCGACGUAUUAAAAACGAUUUGCAUUCUCUCUCUUUCUUGAAUCCUCCUCUUAAUUAAGGGUAGGACGAUCUCCAAUAGAACACCAAAACUUCUUUUAUAUUUU